rnacentral:rRNA from 1 species
AGCGAACGCUGGCGGCAUGCCUAACACAUGCAAGUCGCACGGGGGAGCUUCGGCCUCCCAGUGGCUGACGGGUGAGGAACGCGUAGGGACCUGUCGAGGGGUUGUGGAUAACCGCGGGAAACUGCGUCUAAUACCGCAUGACGCCGCGGCAUGACAGCCGGGGCCAAAGGCGAAAGCCGCCCGCCGAGGGACCUCCUUCCUAUUAGAUGGUUGGAGGUGUAGCGGCCCACAAAGGCGUCGAUCGGUAGCUGGUCUGGGAGGGUGAUCAGCCACACCGGGACUGAGACACGGCGCGGACUCCUGCGGGUGGCAGCAGUGGGGAAUAUUGGACGAUGGGCGAAAGCCUGAUCCAGUAAUGCCGCGUGGGUGAAGAAGGUCAUCGGAUUGUAAAGCACUUUCGGCGGGGACGAUAGUGACGGUAACCGCAGAAGAAGCCACGGCUAACUUCGUG